CUAGCUCUGGAACAGGGAAUACACAUCAACUUUUCUCAGUCUGUUUCUUCAUAUGAAGAAUCUUUAAUAACCUGCCUGGGUAUCUUUAAUAAUCACUACAGAUUGUUUGGAUGUGAGAGGAGUGUCUCAUCCCACAGCAUCUUGUUCAUACUUGAGUUGACACUUCCACAGGGAACAAGGGAGGAAAAGCCCAGUUCACGACUGGGAUGUUUACAGACAAGUUGCUUUGAGGGAGAAAGGAAGGGUGAAUUCACUCAGAGGAAUGCUGUACUUGAAGCCAUUCCUCAUAAAGGAGCUGAAGAAAUGGAAGUGAGGCCUCAUCACUGUAGCUUUCAGUUGUGGGAAAACCAACAGAUCCAGCUACCAAGAACUUCUCCACAACCCAUAAAUUGACAGGAAUUCUGCUGGUCCAGUUCCCUCAGGACUGUCCUACUGCCACCCAACCUGUGGUUUGUACAUACAGCAACAAGAUCCACUGGGCUGCCUGACACUGUGGUGAGUUGGGGUGGAGUUUUCUGGUGGCAGAACAUGGCUAUCAUGGCACUGCAAACCCCGCUCCCAGGUUCAGUGGGGGCUGGCAGUUCCCUCAGGGCUUGGGAGCUGGGUCUGUCUGUCCCACUGCUCCCAUCCAGGGAGCAGGGCAGACCUGGGGAGUCUCAGCAGGUUCAGCCAGCCCUGCUAGGUGUUCAUGGAGCAUGUUCAUGGUGAUGAGACAGGAUGAGUUCAAGUCAGGCUGUCAUCCUGCAGCUCAGCUAGGCUGGGCUGUGGGGACCAGGCCAGGCAGAGUCUCCUGGUGGGCUUGGCUUUUUGGGACCCAUGGCUGGGCUGGGCAAGCUGGAAUGGGCACUCUGCAGUGCCAGUGGAACAAGGACUGACAGCCCUGGUUUGGGCUGGAGGUGGAUCCUGGGCCACAGAGGAUAGAAGCUCGGGUGGGCUGCUGAUAGCCUUGGCAGACAUGGAGGUAGUGUGUCUGGUAGGGCAGUUAAUUAAUCCUUUUUGUUCCUGGGCUAGGAGAGAUCCAUGAUGCAGUUAAGAGAACAGGGAAGGAGGAGCCAUGCUGACUUUUUCCACCUUCAUUAUUUACACAGUCCAUUGUAGGGAAAUCCAGGCAGUGAGAUCCAGUGGUAACUGAGGGCAGGGAGCAUUUCUUGUCCUGUAACAUGAUGUGCUGGGACAGGGUUUUCUUACAAUGAGUCUUGCUUUUCCUCCUCCACACUCCAGUCAUACCCAUAGUUUAGCAAUUUUAUUUUUCUACAUAUGGCACCUUGCUGCAGCAUUAUGCAUUCUGUGUCCUUAGGCAGAUUCUAGCCUGAAAUAAAUUUCAGUCUAAUGGAAAAUAUUAUCA
rnacentral:lncRNA from 1 species